rnacentral:rRNA from 1 species
CAGUCGCCGCGGUAAUACGAAGGGGGCUAGCGUUGUUCGGAAUUACUGGGCGUAAAGGGUGCGUAGGCGGGUUUUUAAGUCAGAGGUGAAAUCCUGGAGCUCAACUCCAGAACUGCCUUUGAUACUGAAAGUCUUGAGUAUGGGAGAGGUGAGUGGAACUGCGAGUGUAGAGGUGAAAUUCGUAGAUAUUCGCAAGAACACCAGUGGCGAAGGCGGCUCACUGGCCCAUAACUGACGCUGAGGCACGAAAGCGUGGGGAGCAAACAGGAUUAGAUACCCCAGUAGUCCCUGUCUCUUAUAA